rnacentral:rRNA from 1 species
GUGUCAGCCGCCGCGGUAAUACGUAGGUGGCAAGCGUUGUCCGGAUUUAUUGGGCGUAAAGCGCGCGCAGGUGGUUUCUUAAGUCUGAUGUGAAAGCCCACGGCUCAACCGUGGAGGGUCAUUGGAAACUGGGAGACUUGAGUGCAGAAGAGGAUAGUGGAAUUCCAAGUGUAGCGGUGAAAUGCGUAGAGAUUUGGAGGAACACCAGUGGCGAAGGCGACUGUCUGGUCUGUAACUGACACUGAGGCGCGAAAGCGUGGGGAGCAAACAGGAUUAGAUACCCCGGUAGGUCC